rnacentral:rRNA from 1 species
CAUUAUCGUAUGAUGGAGGUGCUGGGGUUGUCGCUGACUUUUCAAAGGGUCGUGCACACCUUGGUGCUCUCACACAUAAUCCAUCUCACCCCUUUUGUGCAUCACCGCGUGGGGACCCCCUUUUUGGCUAGUUCCGAAGGGGGGUUUUCACGUUUUUAUACAAACACCCUUUUAAUGCAAUGUGUAGAAUGUCUUACUUUUUUUGCGAUCAUACGCAAUCAAUACAACUUUCAACAACGGAUCUCUUGGCUCUCGCAUCGAUGAAGAACGCAGCGAAAUGCGAUACGUAAUGUGAAUUGCAGAAUUCAGUGAAUCAUCGAAUCUUUGAACGCACCUUGCGCCCUUUGGCAUUCCGAAGGGCACACCCGUUUGAGUGUCGUGACAUCCUCAAAACCUUCUUGGUUUCUUGACCGGGGAAGGCUUUGGACUUUGGAGGCUUUUGCUGGCAUUCCUUUAUUGGAGCCAGCUCCUCUGAAAUGAAUUAGUGGGGUCUGCUUUGCUGAUCCUUGACGUGAUAAUAUCUUUUCUACGUCUUGGGUUUCGCACUGUUCACUCUGGAUCCUGCUUCUAACCGUCUCACAGGAGACAAUGGUCAAGUGAUUGCCACUUUGACCCCAUGAACCUUGACCUCAAAUCGGGUGAGACUACCCGCUGAACUUAAGCAUAUCAAUAAGCGGAGGAAAAGAAACUAACAAGGAUUCCCCUAGUAACUGCGAGUGAAGCGGGAAAAGCUCAAAUUUAAAAUCUGGCGGUCCUUGGCCGUCCGAGUUGUAAUUUAGAGAAGCGUCUUCCGCGCUGGAC